rnacentral:SRP_RNA from 1 species
CCGUGCUAUGCGGGGAGUUAGCGAUGCCCUGUAAUCCGCGAUUCGCUUAGCGGAGCAGAAUGCUUAUAAAAGGCUUAUUAUGUGGAAGGCAGAACGGUACAAGGGGCGUUGAUAUCAAGGUCUUGUGCAACGAUCCCCUAUGAACCGUGUCAGAGUAGGAAUACAGCAGCACUAAGUAGAAAGGCUCGUGUGCCAUAAGGUUGCUUUGAAGGAGUUACCUAUACCGCCACCGCUUCGGCAUAACAAGUCGAUUUAAGAUGCACGG